rnacentral:lncRNA from 11 species
CAGUCCUGCGAGUGAAUCCUGGAGGUGGAAUCUUUAUGGGAGAUGCCAAGAAUGCUGAAUUAAAUUCAAAUCUGAUUCAUAUGGAAGCCUUCUUGAAGGCAAGGUCAAUGGAACAGUGGCAGAUGCUCC